AUUGCAAAAAAAAAAAAAAAAAUCUAAAAUCAAAGCCUUCAUUUUCUCUCUCCCCGAUUCUUCUCCCUCUUUCUCUUCAGCUUCGUUUUCUCUCUCCUCUGUCGUCGCCGUUGCUUCUUCACCGUCGGAGAUCGAUCUCCCCCACCGUCGUUGAUCUCUACCCUCUUCCAGAUCAGACUAAUUCAGGAUACAAUUGGGUUGCGAUCUCUUGCAGCUGGUGGGAAAUUGUUGCAGGUAUUCAACAAUUCGAGGGAGCAUCCUUUUACCAUUGAGUAGAUAAAUGAAAUUCGAGAAAAAUUGGCAAAGUUCAUUACCAUUUAUUGUCUUUGAUAUUUUCUUGUAGUGAAUCUUAGAUUAUGGAUUCAUAGGAUUGUAAUGUAAUCAAUUUUUAUAUUUACAAUUAUAUACUAUUCAAUUUAAUUUUCUAUAUUAUUGGAUACUUUUUAUGUGA